rnacentral:lncRNA from 1 species
ACUGAUAAGGUUGGCGAGUGGUCAGUUUAAAGAAGGCAAGAUCCACACUUUAGUCAUUGUUAAUAUACUAAAGAAUCAACAACACAAAAGCACGCGAAUAUUUAGAAUAUAAAUAAAAGUGGAAUAAACUAUUAGACAGAAGAAAAAUGAAAUUACUUCAUUACAUCCUCGUGCUGCUGCUGAUUGGCAUUGGCGGCGUAGUGCAACUUCAAACCAAUCUCGUUGCCAGCAAAGUGAUUUUCUAUACAAGCAAAAAUAAAACUGAGGAAAGCAGCAUAUUUGCAAUACAUCGCCGCAAAUGUCGAUAUGCAAUGGAUCAUCUGGGGCGUUGUCGCAACUUUGCAUAAGCGGCGCUGUAGACGAAAUCGGAAGUUGUCAGCGGAAAGCUUCAAAUGCUGCCAUGCAAACACACAACUAUAAAAGUGAAAAAUUAUAGUGUUUUAAUGAAAUUUGAAAUGUAUUCUGUUACUAUUUUUGAAUGUGUAAGGCACUAAUCGCUUUGUUGCCACUGAUGAAAUAGCAAAUUAAUGAAAUAAAUAUAUUGAAUAAUGCA